AGAGUUUGAUCCUGGCUCAGAUUGAACGCUGAUGCCUUACACAUGCAAGUCGAACGGCAGCGCGGACUUCGGUCUGGCGGCGAGUGGCGAACGGGUGAGUAAUGUAUCGGAACGUACCUUUCAGUGGGGGAUAACGUAGCGAAAGUUACGCUAAUACCGCAUAUUCUGUGAGCAGGAAAGCAGGGGAUCGCAAGACCUUGCGCUGAUUGAGCGGCCGAUAUCAGAUUAGCUAGUUGGUGAGGUAAAGGCUCACCAAGGCGACGAUCUGUAGCGGGUCUGAGAGGAUGAUCCGCCACACUGGAACUGAGACACGGUCCAGACUCCUACGGGAGGCAGCAGUGGGGAAUUUUGGACAAUGGGGGCAACCCUGAUCCAGCCAUGCCGCGUGAGUGAAGAAGGCCUUCGGGUUGUAAAGCUCUUUCGGCCGGGAAGAAAUCGUACGGGUUAAUACCCUGUGCGGAUGACGGUACCGGCAUAAGAAGCACCAGCUAACUACGUGCCAGCAGCCGCGGUAAUACGUAGGGUGCGAGCGUUAAUCGGAAUUACUGGGCGUAAAGCGUGCGCAGGCGGUUUUGUAAGACAGGCGUGAAAUCCCCGGGCUCAACCUGGGAACUGCGCUUGUGACUGCAAGGCUAGAGUAUGGCAGAGGGGGGUGGAAUUCCACGUGUAGCAGUGAAAUGCGUAGAGAUGUGGAGGAACACCAAUGGCGAAGGCAGCCCCCUGGGCCAAUACUGACGCUCAUGCACGAAAGCGUGGGUAGCAAACAGGAUUAGAUACCCUGUAGUCCACGCCCUAAACGAUGUCAACUAGGUGUUGGGUGGGUAAAACCAUUUAGUACCGUAGCUAACGCGUGAAGUUGACCGCCUGGGGAGUACGGCCGCAAGGUUAAAACUCAAAGGAAUUGACGGGGGACCCGCACAAGCGUGGAUGAUGUGAUUAUUCGAUGCACGCGAAAA
rnacentral:rRNA from 1 species